CUUGCAAACUAGGCAGUCGCCCCGCCAAGGCGGGGAGGAAAGUCCGAGCACCAAUCUGAUAAUAAGCAGAAAAACGGUAGCGGGUAAUACCCGUCCGUGGCGACACGAGAGUUGCGAUUAGAGACGUCCCAGGAAGCAAUUCCGAGGAAAGCGAACCCAAAGAUUUGAGUUAAUCAAAUUAAGCUUAGUCCGAUACUGUGGGUGAAAAGUGUCGGAAUGAAACGGCUAAACACUUACCGGGGCGCAAGAGCAGCGUUCCCGGCACUUUCUUUAAAAUCUUAGAAAGUGCCGAGUUCGAAAAGCUAGCUCGCUAGAGCUUCACAGUAAUGUGGAGCCCAGAUAAAUGAUUGCCCUCCGCCAACCGGCGGAACAGAACUCGGCUUAUUGUUUGCAAGGAUA
rnacentral:RNase_P_RNA from 2 species